rnacentral:rRNA from 1 species
GAAAUGUUGGGUUAAGUCCCGCAACGAGCGCAACCCUUAUCCUUUGUUGCCAGCGGUCCGGCCGGGAACUCAAAGGAGACUGGCAGUGAUAAACUGGAGGAAGGGGGGGAUGACGUCAAGUCAUCAUGGGCCUUACGAGUAGGGCUACACGCGUGCUACAAUGGCGCAUACAAAGAGAAGCGAACUCGCGAGAGCAAGCGGACCUCAUAAAGUGGGUCGUAGUCCGGAUUGGAGUCUGCAACUCGACUCCAUGAAGUCGGAAUCGCUAGUAAUCGUAGAUCAGAAUGCUACGGUGAAUA